AUUCCUAAGUCAAGUCUUUGCUGUUACCAUCAAUAACUGCUAACUCAGAGGAUGCAACCUUAGUAAUUCAUUUCCUUAAGUAAGUGGAUUCUACAGGCAUGAUGCUUACUUCUUGGCCGAUAUUGAAGUAUCUAACAGGACUUCAGUGGAGCUUCCAUAUUGUCAGUUUCUGUACCCCUGUGAGCCUCUGCUCUCCUGCUAAUCUUCCCAGUCUGGGAAGUAGACUUGGACAGAGAUCGGUCUUCCUUUUGGCUCUGUGGCAUGGCAUAGCUGAAUCAGGAGGUUUAAAUGCAUAAUUAAGCAUCCUUGCUUUCUGAUUAGCUCAUGAAUUGCCUCUUAAUCCUUAGAGUAAAAUUGGUCCAUUUUGUCUCAGUUUUGGAGGUGAAUUAUCUAAGAAGGUAACAACAUUUUUUCUUUGAGGUAGGUGUUCAUUCUAUUUGUGUAGCUGAACCAAAGUUGUUCUUGGGAGCAACAUGACCAUCAGAUAUGUGCAAAGCAAUUUAGAAUUAAUUGUACAGGGUGUCAUGCAUUCAUUAUUUUCCCCAGAAGGGUUAGGCAUUGUAUUUUAACUGGUGUCUACAGCAUCUGACUGCAGGAAUUCCCUUGAGCAUCUCAUUUGCCCACCGUCAUUAUCUUUUUUCUCCCUUCUGAGCUCUCCUUCAGCAAGAACUCUGUCUCUUCUAUGUGCCCUGUGACACAUCUUAUAAAUUGCUGCACCAGAUUCUGAUGAACCUUGAUAUUCAUGGAAACUGCAACCCAGGUGGGAGAUAACCUUUGACAGGCUCUCUCCUAUUCUUUAGUGGCCAGUUUCACAAAGAGGCUGCAGGAAGCUGCUUCCAGCAGUCUGAGUCCUGAGGAGGAGACGAUAACAGUGGGAGAAGCACCUGGUAACAGCGGCACUUCAUCCAGGAAGAAAACAGGAUCUAAAAUAUAAACAACAUCCUUACAACACAAAAUAUGAGCGUCCAUCAUGGACCAACCAAUAACUUCAAUAAAAGUGCUGUAUCCCCUGGCAGAUGAUGAGUAUCUUCAAGAUGGUGCCCAAAGGAGAGAGAGAAUAAACUUGAACAUUCUGACUUUGAAGAACAUGACCAGGCUAGCCCAGGAGAAAGAUGGAGCACAUAUGGAGCAGAGCUGCCCCAGCCAACCUGCUCUUGAGACCCCAGCUUAGAGCAUCCAACUCCCAGCUAACACCCAGAAGCAUGAGUGACUCCAUUUAAGGUCAAUAAAACCAUCUAGCCGAGUCCAGUGAGAUAAGCCAGCCCUUGGUUGAUCACAGAUGCAUGAGCUAAAUAAAUGCUUAUUGUUGUAUGCCA
rnacentral:lncRNA from 10 species